GCAGAACAGGUUCCACUCAAGCAUGUUGGUAGAGCAUGAGACUUUAAAUCUCAGGGUUGUGGGUUCGAGCCCCACAUUGGGCA